GGGCGUGACGAUAGCUCACGACGUCUUGGUGAUCGUGGUGCAUGAAAUACCACUUUCUUGCUUGGGAUAUAAUUACUUUUGAGAAUGGAUUGGAUAGUCACUUGCCAAGUUGAGCUUAUAAAUGUCUUUUGUAUAGCUCUUGAAAUGAAGCCUUAAUGUGUAACGGGUUCAUUUCCUUUUGGUAGGCAAACUGAAUAUGUAUUUUCUUUAUGAAUGUCUGUGGCAUGCCACUAUGGUUGUAAAUGUUGGAUUUCAAUGUGUAUAUGUUAAAUUGAUGUUUGGAUUCUACUAUCCAGGCCACUAUUCAGUUUUCCAUUUUUUUUAA